CAAACUGAAGAUGGCGACCGGCGCACGGGUGAGUAACACGUAUCCAACCUGCCGAUAACUCCGGAAUAGCCUUUCGAAAGAAAGAUUAAUACCGGAUAGUAUACGAAUAUCGCAUGAUUUUUUUAUUAAAGAAUUUCGGUUAUCGAUGGGGAUGCGUUCCAUUAGUUUGUUGGCGGGGUAACGGCCCACCAAGACUACGAUGGAUAGGGGUUCUGAGAGGAAGGUCCCCCACAUUGGAACUGAGACACGGUCCAA
rnacentral:rRNA from 1 species